GCUCCAAUAGCGUAUAUUUAAGUUGUUGCAGUUAAAAAGCUCGUAGUUGGAUUUCGGGUGGGUUGUAGCGGUCCGCCUAUGGUGAGUACUGCUAUAGCCUUCCUUACUGUCGGGGACCUGCUUCUGGGCUUCACUGUCCGGGACAGGGAUUCGGCAUGGUUACUUUGAGUAAAUUAGAGUGUUCAAAGCAGCUUACGCCU
rnacentral:rRNA from 1 species